rnacentral:tRNA from 1 species
GGACACGUGGCGGAACUGGUAUACGCGUACGCCUCAGAAGCGUAUCCCGCAAGGGUUGAGAGUUCGAAUCUCUCCGUGUCCA